ensembl:snRNA U6 U6 spliceosomal RNA
ACUCUCUUAGGUAGAAUCUACACUAAGAUUGGAACAAAUUAGCAUGGACCCUGGGCAAGAAUGGCAUACAUUAUGAACUCUUUUAUCAUUUU